CACUAAAAACAGCAACAACAACCACAAAACAACAAAACAAACAAACAAACAACAAAAAAAAACCUUUCUGACUUAAUGACGUCUGAUAUAAUAGUGCGUAUGGAGCAAAGGCAUGUCAUUCAACUCCUCCACUCCUCCAUGUGGAAAAUUGACACCAAUUGACAUUCAUCGACACUUGCUGAAUGUUUAUGGAGACCAAACAGUGGAUGUGAGCACAGUGAAGUGGUGGGUGCUGUGUUUUCAGCAGUAGCAGCAGCAACAGUAGGUCACCACCACUGAUGUAGAUUGUUAGGAGUGUUGUAUGCAGGCUGUUGUUAAUUCCUGGCAGAAACGUAUAGCUAAUGGCAGCGGCUAUGUUGACAAAUAGUGUUUUGUAGCUGAGAAUUUGCUCUAAGAAAUAGUGUUAUUGUGCUCUUCCUACUUAUUGUAGUUUCCAUUGAAAUAAAUCUUUGAAUCAGAAUUCUUAGAGUUGGAAAGGACCUCUGAAAGCCAUCUAGUCCAACUCCCCUGCAGUGAACACGGACACCACAGCUAGAUCAGGUUGCCCAGGGCCUGAUCCAGCCUUCCCUUGAAAGUCUCCAGGGACUAGGCAUCCAUCACAACACUAGGUACACUGUUCCAGCACCUCACUGCCCUCACUGUAAGAUAAUAAACAGGAGAAAUUACUUUCAGAGUAACCUAUGUACUUCUUUGAUUUUUCUUCUCAUGACUUAAGCUCACUGUCUCCUGCCUCUGAGAGACUUCUGUGUCAGGUAACUGUGUAUGAAGAAAUACUGCAGGAUCUGGAAUUUCCUUGGCUUAUAAACCACCCUACAAACCCAAGGUAUCACAGUUUGCCUUCAGACAAUGACUUUCCUAAGCAUCAGCUUUUGCAUUCAGCUGCAGAUGUAAACCAAAUACUGUGAGGUAAAUUAGAGACCAGAUGGGCUUGCAUUUAUGAAGGAGAUUUUUGGGACUGUUGCUUAGAGCUCUCCUUUUGCCUUUUACAUAUGUGAUUGCUCCAAUUUAAAAUCAAAGUAUUUUUGUUCUUUAAAGCAUAAGAUUUUCUAUUUUCUAUAAGAUACAGAAUAUUUCCAUCUUUUUUUCCUUCUCUUCCUUUCCCUUCCUUUAUUUUCCCUUCCCUUCUUCCUUCUGCCUUCCCUCCCCUCCCCUCCUUUCCCUUUCCCUCCCCUUUCCCUUUUUCCCUUUCUCCCUUUCUCCUUUCCCCUUUCCCCUUCCCCCUUUCCCCUUUUGCUGUCUUUUCAUUUCCUAUCCCUAUUCUCAAAAUCUUAACAAAAAUGUUAAGAUGUUAUUAGUUCUGUUAUUUAUCACUUGCCAGAAAUAUAAAAACACAAAUGCAUGAACAGAAUUUCACAAAUUUACAUUUUCUAAAUUAAUUUUCAUAUUUUAAAAUGUUUUACUAAAUUUAUUUAUUUAUUUAUUUAUUUAUUUGCUUUUCAUUAUGAAAAUAAUUUUUCUUAAUUUAUUUUUUAAUGAAUCUCUGCUUUCAGACCUGACACUUGUAUCAGGAAAAGAUGGGAAAGUUCUAUGUGGAAGUGGAAGAUAUUUCAUAUUUUCAUGAGUACUCAACAUUUUAAAAGGAUAGAAAAAAGAGGCAGCAUCAAAAAAUGCUCACAUCCUCUUUUGGGAACUUAAUCCGUAGAAAUGAAUUACAACAGUCAUAGUUACAUUUUAAUAGUGUCUGUCAACAUAUUUCAGCUAUAAAAAACUAGAUACAAAUCUAUGAAAAUACAAAUUGGAAUAGACUAUCUCCAAAUAUUUUUGGUGGUUUUUUUUUUUGGAUGAUGCAUGUGUCUCCAUUGCCCCUCUCCCAGUGGCUAUCUCAAGAUGUAUAUUGGCUGGGAAGAAAGGAAGAGAUUACAAAAGCAUAUCUCCAAAUUCCAAAAUGAAAAGUCACACUAAAUGCACUGGCGAUAAGGAUUAUGAUUAAAACCUCACAUUUGACCAAUAAGGACAACAUUUUCUCCUAAGGUGAUAUUCAUAACCUUCUGAAGGCUUCUGAAGCCCAGCACAAGAAUUAUAUGCCAUAUGCCUUUUUUUAAUUCCUAAGACAUAAGGAUACUUAGUCUGACCUUGUGAAUGGGGUUGAAUUUCACUCUGUAGUGCAACUUUCUCUAGAGUUAUAUGGGUGAAACAUUUUGAGAAGUAUAUCUAUUUGUAAAUGCUGCAGCUAAAUGAGUUAAAAUGAUAACUGUCACUUAUGACUAAUAAUAAGCUGUGUUUGCCAUGCCUGCUGUUUUACUGAGAUUUCAAUCUUAUACACAAAAGUGACUUGUAUUUUUUAAGUUGAACAAUAAUAAAAAACAAAUUC
rnacentral:lncRNA from 1 species